AUAAUUGGCAGAUUAUUGCAUUAAACUUAGAAUUUAAUAUUGA
rnacentral:tRNA from 1 species